UACGUAGGGGGCAAGCGUUGUCCGGAAUCAUUGGGCGUAAAGCGCGUGUAGGCGGCCAGAUAAGUCCGCUGUGAAAUCUCGAGGCUCAACUUCGAGCUGUCGGUGGAAACUAUCUGGCUAGAGUCCGGAAGAGGAGAGUGGAAUUCCUGGUGUAGCGGUGAAAUGCGCAGAUAUCAGGAGGAACACCUGCGGUGUAGACAGCUUGCUGGACCAUAACUGACGCUGAGGCACGAAAGCGUGGGUAGCAAACAGG
rnacentral:rRNA from 1 species